rnacentral:rRNA from 1 species
GGCUCAGGAUGAACGCUAGCUACAGGCUUAACACAUGCAAGUCGAGGGGCAGCAUGAACUUAGCUUGCUAAGUUUGAUGGCGACCGGCGCACGGGUGAGUAACACGUAUCCAACCUGCCGAUGACUCGGGGAUAGCCUUUCGAAAGAAAGAUUAAUACCCGAUGGCAUAAUUCUUCCGCAUGGUAGAACUAUUAAAGAAUUUCGGUCAUCGAUGGGGAUGCGUUCCAUUAGGUUGUUGGCGGGUAACGGCCCACCAAGCCUUCGAUGGAUAGGGGUUCUGAGAGGAAGGUCCCCCACACUGGUACUGAGACACGGACCAGACUCCUACGGGAGGCAGCAGUGAGGAAUAUUGGUCAAUGGGCGAGAGCCUGAACCAGCCAAGUCGCGUGGAGGAAGACUGCCCUAUGGGUUGUAAACUCCUUUUACCUGGGAAUAACGGGCGCUACGUGUAGCGCUGUGCGUGUACCGGGAGAAUAAGCAUCGGCUAAUUCCGUG